UCGAGCGGAAACGAUCCUAGCUUGCUAGGAGGCGUCGAGCGGCGGACGGGUGAGUAACACGUGAGAAUCUGCCCAUUAGUGGGGGAUAACCUGGGGAAACCCAGGCUAAUACCGCAUAAUCCCUACGGGGGAAAGCAGGGGACCUUCGGGCCUUGUGCUGAUGGAUGAGCUCGCGUCGGAUUAGCUUGUUGGUGAGGUAAUGGCUCACCAAGGCGACGAUCCGUAGCUGGUCUUAGAGGAUGAUCAGCCACACCGGGACUGAGACACGGCCCGGACUCCUACGGGAGGCAGCAGUGGGGAAUCUUGGACAAUGGGGGCAACCCUGAUCCAGCCAUGCCGCGUGUGUGAAGAAGCCUUCGGGUUGUAAAGCACUUUCAGUAGGGAGGAAGGCUUAUCCUUAAUACGGAUGAGUACUUGACGUUACCUACAGAAGAAGCACCGGCUAAUUUCGUGCCAGCACCCGCGGUAAUACNAAAGGUGCAAGCGUUAAUCGGAAUUACUGGGCGUAAAGCGCGCGUA
rnacentral:rRNA from 1 species